rnacentral:rRNA from 1 species
AGACAUGCAAGUCGAACGGAAACACUGAUUAGUUUACUAAGAUGUGUUUUAGUGGCGGACGGGUUAGUAACACGUGAGCAACCUGCCUCGAAGUGGGGGAUAGCCUUCCGAAAGGGAGAUUAAUACCGCAUAUGGUCUUCGGACCAAAGGUGCCUUCGGGUAUCGCUUUGAGAUGGGCUCGCGGCCUAUCAGCUAGUUGGUGAGGUAAAGGCUCACCAAGGCAACGACGGGUAGCUGGUCUGAGAGGAUGAUCAGCAACACUGGAACUGAGACACGGUCCAGACACCUACGGGUGGCAGCAGUCGAGAAUCAUUCACAAUGGACGAAAGUCUGAUGGUGCAACGCCGCGUGGAGGAUGAAGGCCCUAGGGUCGUAAACUCCUGUCAUAAUAGAGUAAGGCAUAAGUGGAAUAAUACCCAUUUAUGUUUGAUAGUAUAUUAAGAGGAAGGGACGGCUAACUUCGUGCCAGCAGCCGCGGUAAUACGAAGGUCCCGAGCGUUAUUCGGAAUCACUGGGCGUAAAGAGUACGUAGGCGGUUUGGUAAGUCAGGUGUGAAAUCCCGAAGCUCAACUUCGGAACUGCAUCCGAUACUGCCAGACUAGAGUAAUGGAGGGGCAGGUGGAAUUCUUGGUGUAGCAGUGAAAUGCGUAGAUAUCAAGAGGAAGACCAAUGGCGAAGGCAGCCUGCUGGACAUUUACUGACGCUGAGGUACGAAGGCUAGGGUAGCGAAAGGGAUUAGAUACCCCUGUAGUCCUAGCAGUAAACGGUGCGCGCUUGGUGUAGGAGACUCGACCCCUUCUGUGCCGGAGCUAACGCGUUAAGCGCGCCGCCUGGGGAGUACGGUCGCAAGAC